CUCUUGUAGAUAACCGUUUAUCAGCAAAUACCCUACGAUAGCCUCUGCGGUUUCUCUCGUAAAAUUUGGCACAGAUUUCCUACAAUGAUCACACAUCUCUGCGCAGUCGUUUUCUUUCCAAUUUUCUUCAAAGUGAGUCGCUAUUAAACUCCGUCUACAGGAAGUUUCAUCUAAGCAGAGGUUUUUUCACGAGGUAAGAAGACUCAACUGAAAAAAGGUGAAACCAUAGAAUGAUUUCUUCAAGAAGGGUCACUUUUCAUGCGACGCUGAAACGCUUGUUUUCUAACGUCAAAAGGAUCACGUAACCACAAUUAUUGCCAGCGAUGACAACUAAAAUCAAUGAAAAGGGUUUACAGCGUUGAAUUUUGAGCGACAACUUAACCUAUUUUGAAACGAUAGUACAAUAUAUAAGUAGAGUCCCAUUUUAUAAGAGAUGCGCAAAUGGGAUUCGCUUGCUGAAAAUCGAGAAUAUCGGAUCCGCAGCUGAUUGAUUAUCAAUACAAAGCAGCUGGGCCUCUAUUCUGCACUAAAGAUUCUGUA